rnacentral:lncRNA from 1 species
GGGAUUUUUGGGGGGGUUUGGCCCUCUAUGGGACCUGUGGGGUCUAUGGGGGAUUUGGGGAGGGAUUUUGGGGUCUCUGUGGGGUCAAUAGGGGACAUUUGGGGUCUGUAGGUGCCGCCCAGCCCUGCCUGGGGCUCCUUUGGGGGGAUCCAUGGGGGAUUCCCUGGGGGAUCUAUAGGGGAUCCAUGGGGGAUUCCCUGGGGGAUCUAUAGGGGAUCCAUGGGGGAUUCCCAGGGGGAUCUGUGGGGGAUUCCCUGAGGGAUCUAUAGGGGAUCUAUGGGGGAUUCCCUGGGGGAUCCAUAGGGGAUUUAUGGGCAAUCCAUAGGGGAUUUAGAGGGGAUCCAUUGGGGAUUCCCUGGGGGAUCCAUAGGGGAUUUUUGGAGGAUCCAUGGGGGAUUCUAUGGAGGAUCCAUGGGGGAUCCACACUUGACCUAUGGGGAACCUAUAGGGGAUCCAUAGGGGAUCCAUAGGCGCCGCCCAGGCCCCGCCGGGGGGCGCUGUCCCGUGCGCCGCCCCCGGGGGCCGGGGCCAGAGCAAGGCCGGGCCCAACCUACGGCCGGGGCCGUAUGGAUCCUAUAGGGGACCCCGCCCUGGGGCUGCCCCGGGAUCCGGCACGGCCCCGGCACACGCCGGCCCCGACACACCGUCCCGGGAUCCUAUGGAUCCUAUAGGGGAUCCAGCACGGCCCCGACACACCGUUCCGGGAUCCUAUGGAUCCUAUAGGGGAUCCUAUGGAUCCUAUAGGGGAUCCGGCACGGCCCCGGCACACGCCGGCCCCGACACACCGACCCGGGAUCCUAUGGAUCCUAUAGGGGAUCCGCCACGGCCCCGGCACACCAUCCCCAGAUCCUAUGGAUCCUAUAGGGGAUCCUGUAAGGCAUCCCAAAUCCCCCUAUGGAAAAUCCCAAAUUCCCUAUGGAAAAUCCCCUAUGGAAAAUCGCAAAUCCCCCUAUGGAAAAUGCCAAAUUCCCCUAUGGAAAAUCCCAAAUCCCCCUAUGGAAAAUGCCAAAUUCCCUAUGGAAAAUACCAAAUUCCCUAUGGAAAAUCCCCUAUGGAAAAUCCCAAAUCCCCCUAUGGAAAUCCCAAAUCCCCCUAUGGAAAUCCCAAAUCCCCCCAUGGAAAAUCCCAAAUCCCCCUAUGGAAAAUGCCAAAUUCCCUAUGGAAAAUCCCCUAUGGAAAAUCCCAAAUCCCCCUAUGGAAAUCCCAAAUUCCCUAUGGAAAAUCCCCUAUGGAAAAUCCGCCAUGGACGAGCCGGGUCCCUCCGGACGAAGCCCCGGAGCAGAGCCCAGGUCGAGGCCGCUGAGGGACAAAAUCCGGAGCAAAAACGGAAUUUUGGGGCUUUUUUGGAGUUUUUUGGGAAUUCUGGAGCCUCUUUUGGGGAGUAUUUGUGAUUUUUUUGGGACUUUUUUUUUAGUGAUUUAAUUUUUUUUAAAAUUUUUUUGAUGUUGUUUUUUGGAGCUUUUAAAGGAUUUUUUAUUCUUUUUGGAGCCUUUUUUAAUAUUUUUUUUCCUUUUUCAAGGUUUUUUUCAUCUUUUGGGGACGAUUUCCCAUCUUUAAAUACAAAUUCCUCACUCCUGUGCAUUUCUUUCCUUCCAAUAAAUAUGAAUCAAGAUUUGGCA